rnacentral:misc_RNA from 1 species
UGCUAGGCCCAGGCGGUACC